GAGUUUGAUCCUGGUUCAGGACGAACGCUGGCGGCGUGCCUAACACAUGCAAGUCGAACGGUUUCAAUGUUCGAACUUCGAAUUUCGAGCUUCGAACAUCGAGAUAGUGGCGGACGGGUGAGUAACGCGUGGGUAACCUACCCAACAGACCGGGACAACACUUGGAAACGAGUGCUAAUACCGGAUAACCUAAGACACUGGCAUCAGAGACUUAGGAAAGGUGGCCUCUAUAUAAAAGCUACCGUUGUAGGAUGGACCCGCGUCUGAUUAGCUAGUUGGUGGGGUAACGGCCUACCAAGGCGACGAUCAGUAGCCGGCCUGAGAGGGUGAACGGCCACACUGGGACUGAGACACGGCCCAGACUCCUACGGGAGGCAGCAGUGGGGAAUCUUCCGCAAUGGACGAAAGUCUGACGGAGCAACGCCGCGUGUAUGAUGAAGGCCUUCGGGUUGUAAAGUACUGUCUUUGGGGACGAAUGGUCACUAUGAAAAUAUUGUAGUGACAUGACGGUACCCAAGAAGGAAGCCCCGGCUAACUACGUGCCAGCAGCCGCGGUAAUACGUAGGGGGCAAGCGUUGUCCGGAAUCAUUGGGCGUAAAGGGCGCGUAGGCGGAUAGUUAAGUCCGAUGUGAAAUACCAGGGCUCAACCCUGGGGCUGCAUCGGAAACUGGUUAUCUUGAGGACAGGAGAGGAAAGUGGAAUUCCACGUGUAGCGGUGAAAUGCGUAGAUAUGUGGAGGAACACCAGUGGCGAAGCGACUUUCUGGACUGUAACUGACGCUGAGGCGCGAAAGCGUGGGGAGCAAACA
rnacentral:rRNA from 1 species